rnacentral:rRNA from 1 species
GACGAACGCUGGCGGCGUGCCUAAUACAUGCAAGUUGAGCGCUGAAGGUUGGUACUUGUACCAACUGGAUGAGCAGCGAACGGGUGAGUAACGCGUGGGGAAUCUGCCUUUGAGCGGGGGACAACAUUUGGAAACGAAUGCUAAUACCGCAUAAAAACUUUAAACACAAGUUUUAAGUUUGAAAGAUGCAAUUGCAUCACUCAAAGAUGAUCCCGCGCUGUAUUAGCUAGUUGGUGAGGUAAAGGCUCACCAAGGCGAUGAUACAUAGCCGACCUGAGAGGGUGAUCGGCCACAUUGGGACUGAGACACGGCCCAAACUCCUACGGGAGGCAGCAGUAGGGAAUCUUCGGCAAUAGACGAAAGUCUGACCGAGCAACGCCGCGUGAGUGCAGAAGGUUUUCGGAUCGUAAAACUCUGUUGGUAGAGAAGAACGUUGGUGAGAGUGGAAAGCUCAUCAAGUGACGGUAACUACCCAGAAAGGGACGGCUAACUACGUG